AUAUGGAGGACGCGAGCGUUAUCCGGAUUUAUUGGGUUUAAAGGGAGCGUAGGUGGGAUAUUAAGUCAGCUGUGAAAGUUUGGGGCUCAACCUUAAAAUUGCAGUUGAUACUGGUUUCCUUGAGUACGGUACAGGUGGGCGGAAUUCGUGGUGUAGCGGUGAAAUGCUUAGAUAUCACGAAGAACUCCGAUCGCGAAGGCAGCUCACCGGGCCGGAACUGACACUGAUGCUCGAAAGUGCGGGUAUCAAACAGGAUUAGAUACCCUGGUAGUCCGCACAGUAAACGAUGAAUACUCGCUGUUUGCGAUACACUGUAAGCGGCCAAGCGAAAGCGUUAAGUAUUCCACCUGGGGAGUACGCCGGCAACGGUGAAACUCAAAUGAAUUGACGGGG
rnacentral:rRNA from 1 species